GUCCACGCCGUAAACGAUGGAUACUAGCUGUUGGGAGCAAUCUCAGUGGCUAAGCGAAAGUGAUAAGUAUCCCACCUGGGGAGUACGAACGCAAGUUUGAAACUCAAAGGAAUUGACGGGGGCCCGCACAAGCGGUGGAGCAUGUUGUUUAAUUCGAUGAUACGCGAGGAACCUUACCAAGGCUUAAAUGUAGUUUGACCGUUUUGGAAACAGAACUUUCGCAAGACAAAUUACAAGGUGCUGCAUGGUUGUCGU
rnacentral:rRNA from 1 species